UCCGAUCACUUGAUGUAAUCCCCCGUAAUUUUAUAAAUUUUAUUAAUAUAUUUUAAUGUAUAGUUAAUUAUAUUUAAAUAGAAUUUACGAGUUUUAUUAAUAAAUAUAUAAUUAACGUAUAUUUAUUUUAUUACAUUUUAAAUAUUUUUAACGAUUUAUGAAAUCAAAAGUAAUUUUAUAAUUUUACGUUGAAAAGAAAUCGAAUUACGAAAACACGAUUGAAUUUAGAAAACAAUCCUAUUCGGUUUGACUCAAACACUAAAACCCAAAUCCUAGUUCAAGCCCAUUUUUGCAAAGCCCAAACAAUAAACCCCAUACUCCCUUCUCUAACUCUAAUUCACGUAAAACAAAAAUAAAAAAAAUAAACAAAGCCAAAACCCCAUUUGAACUUCACGUGAAAACGCAAAAGAGAAAAAAAAAAGAAACAAAACCUAUCUCUCAUUCAAACUCACGUAAACUAGCAAACCCUCAAACCUUGGUACUCUCUGCCCAGCCGCCAGCCACCAUACACCCGCCGGACCUCCACCGUCCUCGUCACAGCCGCCCCAGCCGCCGACCACCUACCGCCGCCGCGACCGCCAGCUGCACGGUAACCUUCUUCUUCUCCUUCGUUCUUCUUCCUUUCUCUUUCGUUCGUUUCUUGCAGCUUCGCUACCCUUCUCACGAUCUUUUUCGCUCUUGCUCUCCUCGCUCGUUUUGGUUUUUGCGCAGCAGCAACCGAGUCGCGCCACCCUCUCCUUGCUGUCGCCGAGCAGUGCUGCCGCCUCCGGCCGCGCCUCACCGCCUGCCACCGUCGUCCUCUCUCGUCGGCGGAGAAUUCUCCUUAGGCGACUUUUGAAUUAUUAAAGUGGUCUUGCAGUUUGUUUACACAAGGUACGUACAUACCUGUGUGCUUGGAAUGUGUGCUAAUUGUUGAAACCAUGUUGAAUUUGUU